UUUCCUUAUCCAUCACGCCAGGUCACCGGUGUGUCUUGCCAUCCUUUGGUUGCAGGAUCCUUCUCUGGGGCAGGUGAGUCCUGCUGUCUCAGGAGCCUGGGGCCUGGCCUUCCGGCUGCCUGGACAGGACCCUCUGCUCACAGCAAACACCGUCUCUAUCCUCUGAGCUGGAAGACCAAGCACCAGCCAGGGCACUUGCAUUUCUGCUGCAGGACACGCAGAGAUGCACAGCCACAGAUAACCUAGCGCCACUCUCAAUUACAGUCUCCUUGAGAGAGGCUGAACUGCUCAGUGCCUGCCAAGAGAUGGUGACUCCAAGCUGUGGAUUUGGUCUGUGUCCCUCCGAGUGGGUUUGCAGAAUGUGUCUGAUUUUCUCCUUCAUGUUACCCGUCAAGGGCAGAAGGUUAUACAAUACUCUGUCAACACAGGCAGCCACCUGCUCCCUACUGCUGGGCCAGGGGCUGGGGGCAGUGGCGGGGUGUUAAGAGGAAUGUCAGCCUUGCAUGAACGCCUACUAUGUGCUGGGCCCUGUGCCAGGCACGGAACUGGCGCUGUUUCAGGGUUUCCCCAAGGUCAUGGCCAGAAUCACCUCAGCUCCAGCCCUGAGCCCCUGUGAACAUGUGGGGGUCGGCAGGAAGGAGACAGAGGGGAGCGGAGCAGAGGCAGCCAGAAGGAAGCAGGGAGAGGAGAGAAAAAAGAGGACGAGAGUGUAGGAUUCAAGGGCAAACUUCAUGGUCAGACGACCUUGAGAAUCACUUCUUUCUCUGACUAGGGUUCCUGUAAAAUAUAAACUGCAG